rnacentral:misc_RNA from 1 species
UACUCUCAAGGCAUGGGCAGGAAAGGAGGAGAAUGUUGAGAAGGCAAGGGCUGCUUUCCUCACAAGAUGCAAGGCAAACUCGGAGGCGACUCUAGGAACAUACAAGGGCGAUGCGGAGCUCAGCGAGGGCGCGGCAGAGAGUCUUCAUGUCAAGGGUUACACAUACUAAAAAGGGUCAUUGUCAUGUUCUGUGGUUAUUAUGUUGUUGUGUAGUUUGUUUAAGCAUAAGGUUAGAACAUUUUGAAAUGUGUUGAUGAUGUUCAGGGACAACAAUAAGCCUUUUGAAGUUUUUGUUGGGGUUGUUGAGUGAGUUGUUCUGGUUUUCUCUUUUGGUUGAAAAACAAAAGAAGAAAAAACAGGGAUUUAUCUUAUCUUUACAUUGAAUUUUACCCUUUUUAUUUGUG